GUAAAUAUAACUUAAUCGGUAGAGUGCUAAAUUGUGGCUUUAGAUGUUGGGGGUUCAAGUCCCCUUAUUUACC
rnacentral:tRNA from 1 species